GGCCGUGUAGUUCAGCGGUUAGAAUGCCCGCCUCCUAUGUGGUAGCGGGUGGUCGACGGUUCGAUCCCGUCCUCGGUCG